UGCCGUGACUUCCCUGGACACCGAGAAAUCAUAUGAGCAUUAAUUUGAUUUAUUCCAUGUAUUUUUUUCAGGUACAUGUGAUGGUCUCAAGCAUGUUUCUCAGUAUCACCAUUUCGCCGUCCUGUUGGUGCCGCUGCUGUUGAAGUCUAUGUGAAUGGUGCCCCCUGGUGGAAUGGAAAAGGAUACUGUUUUUCUAUUAAUAUAACUCUGGCUGGUGGGAGAUAUGAAGAGCCUAGGAAAUGGAAAAGAAAGAAACAUCUGGAACACACAGGCAAGUCAGGGGGCUCUAAUCAUCUUUCGUUUUAUACACACAAGAUUAAAGAUUCCCUCUGAGUUUUGAUUAAGGAUGCGCAGUUAUAAGAUUAAAUACUGGUGACCCAAAUUAGAAAAGCUUUAACUCCAAUCUCAGGAUUCAUCAAAACUCUUCCUGCCACCCCCUCC
rnacentral:lncRNA from 1 species